rnacentral:rRNA from 1 species
AUUGAACGCUGGCGGCAGGCCUAACACAUGCAAGUCGAGCGGAUGCACAGUGCUUGCUCGUGGUUACAGCGGCGGACGGGCGGGUGAGGCAUAGGAACAUGCCUGGUUGCUGUGGAUAACGUCCGGACGCGGGCGCUCAUACCGCAUUACUCCUGAGGGAGAACGUGGGGGAUCUUCGGACCUUACGCCAUCAGAUGAGCCGAGGUCGGAUUAGCUAGUUGGUGGGGUAAAGGCCUACCAAGGCGACGAUCCGUAGCUGGUCUGAGAGGAUGAUCAGCCACACUGGAACUGAGACACGGUCCAGACUCCUACGGGAGGCAGCAGUGGGGAAUAUUGGACAAUGGGCGAAAGCCUGAUCCAGCCAUGCCGCGUGGGUGAAGAAGGUCUUCGGGUUGUAAAGCCCUUUUGUUGGGAAAGAAAAGCAGUAAGUUAAUACCUUGCUGUUCUGACGGUACCAACAGAAUAAGCACCGGCUAACUUCGUG